rnacentral:lncRNA from 1 species
UUGCAUUACUAAGUGGUACUUUGGGAGAAAAAUAUCUACAUUCGUAUAUAUUUCUCUGCCUCUCCACUCAAAGUCUCUGGGCUUUUAAAUAUGAGAGCCUUUUAUUUCCUUAAAACAGCAGCUGCUUUCAUUUAGUUUGAUGGAUUUAAAGCCUUUAGAGGCGGGAGGAGCGGAUGGGAGGUGGUGGAUUUCUCAGGCUACCUGCUCACACCCUCCAAAGGAUGAAGUGUACCUGGUGCACAGGAUACGGGAGCUGGGCAAAAACGCAUCCUCCCUUCUUUCAUCUGAAGACUUAGGACUUAAUUUGUUAUGAGGGUGCUGGAAUUUAGAACUGGUGACAGCAGAGCAUGGAACUGAGUGCCGGCCCUCUGAGCAUGGGGCACCUGCCCACGAAGCUGGCUGAGGAAGAACAGGUCAGAAAAGGAGCCGUUCUGCUGUGCCCCAGCUCUGUCCACCCUGCUCCUUCCCUGACACUCCAGGACCAAACUGGGACCACCCACCGGGGCUUGGACUUUUCCUUGGAAGUGGCUUUGAAGGACAAUGGCCUCUGCUUUCCUCCACCCUCUCCAGACCCACCCAGCACUUUCACCCUGAGACCAGGGUGGUCCCAGCUCCCACCUUGCUCAGUGCCCAGGCCCCUGAGCGAUCCUGCCAACCUAGUGCUUAUUUACCUCUGCCCCCCAUCCCAACUGAGUGAGAGGCAUCAUGGGGUUCCUCCCUCCCUCCCUGCAGGGCCAUCGAGUCCCUCGGGAAGCCCCCCCAUCCCGGUUGGUAGUAAUGGCACUUCCUGUCCCCUCCCCUAC